AUUGAACGCUGGCGGCAGGCCUAACACAUGCAAGUCGAACGAGUGGCGGAAGGGUGAGUAAUGUCUGGGAAACUGCGUGAGGGAGGGGGAUAACUACUGGAGACGGUAGCUAAUACCGCAUACCAUCGGAUGUGCCCAGAUGGGAUGAGCUAGUAGGUGGGGUAACGGCUCACCUAGGCGACGAUCCCUAGCUGGUCUGAGAGGAUGACCAGCCACACUGGAACUGAGACACGGCCCAGACUCCUACGGGAGGCAGCAGUGGGGAAUAUUGCACAAUGGGCGCAAGCCUGAUGCAGCCAUGCCGCGUGUAUGAAGAAGCCCUUCGGGUUGUAAAGUACUUUCAGCGAGGAGGCGUUACUCGCAGAAGAAGCACCGGCUAACUCCGUGCCAGCAGCCGCGGUAAUUC
rnacentral:rRNA from 1 species